rnacentral:rRNA from 1 species
GAUGAACGCUGGCGGCGUGCCUAAUACAUGCAAGUCGAGCGAACAGACGAGGAGCUUGCUCCUCUGACGUUAGCGGCGGACGGGUGAGUAACGCGUGGAUAACCUACCUAUAAGACUGGGAUAACUUCGGGAAACCGGAGCUAAUACCGGAUAAUAUAUUGAACCGCAUGGUUCAAUAGUGAAAGACGGUUUUGCUGUCACUUAUAGAUGGAUCCGCGCCGCAUUAGCUAGUUGGUAAGGUAACGGCUUACCAAGGCAACGAUGCGUAGCCGACCUGAGAGGGUGAUCGGCCACACUGGAACUGAGACACGGUCCAGACUCCUACGGGAGGCAGCAGUAGGGAAUCUUCCGCAAUGGGCGAAAGCCUGACGGAGCAACGCCGCGUGAGUGAUGAAGGUCUUCGGAUCGUAAAACUCUGUUAUUAGGGAAGAACAAAUGUGUAAGUAACUAUGCACGUCUUGACGGUACCUAAUCAGAAAGCCACGGCUAACUACAUG